GGUGUUGUGGCUCAGUGGUAGAGUGCUCGCCUAGCACACGUGAGGCACUGUGUUUGACCCUCAAUACCA
rnacentral:tRNA from 1 species